rnacentral:rRNA from 1 species
UGGGGAAUUUUGCACAAUGGGGGAAACCCUGAUGCAGCGACGCCGCGUGAUUUAGAAGGCCUUCGGGUUGUAAAAAUCUUUUCUAUGGGAAGAAAAUGACAGUACCAUAGGAAUAAGGACCGGCUAAUUACGUGCCAGCAGCCGCGGUAAUACGUAAGGUUCGAGCGUUGUCUGGAAUCAUUGGGCGUAAAGGGUACGUAGGCGGGUAAGCAAGUUAGAAGUGAAAUCCUAUAGCUCAACUAUAGUAAGCUUUUAAAACUGCUCAUCUUGAGGUAUGGAAGGGAAAGUGGAAUUCCUAGUGUAGCGGUGAAAUGCGCAGAUAUUAGGAGGAAUACCGGUGGCGAAGGCGACUUUCUGGCCAUAACCUGACGCUGAGGUACGAAAGCGUGGGUAGCAAACAGG